AAAUAAAGAAAAAUAUGCCCGAAGAAUACGAUUCACGCAAAAAGGACAAGCUGAGGUAUAGAUACCCUAGAGGCGAAUCUUAUCUUGAUGUCAUACAAAGGUUGGAGCCGGUGAUUAUCGAGCUUGAAAGACAAAGAGCACCAGUGGUGGUGGUAUCCCACCAGGCCGUAUUGAGGGCUUUGUAUGCUUAUUUUGCUGAUAGGCCUUUGAGUGAAAUUCCACACAUAGAGAUGCCACUUCACACAAUCAUAGAGAUACAAAUGGGGGUUACAGGAGUACAGGAG
rnacentral:misc_RNA from 1 species